UUGUUAAUUUUUAGAUAUAAGUUACAAUUUUCAGAACCAUAAUCUAGUAAGCGGCCAGUUUGAACGGCAAUUAGGACAAUUUAAACGCGUGCUCAUUGUGCAAAUAAAAAGUAUAAUCCAUACAAAUUCUUUACGUGACAGAUCGUGUAAGAAGUUUAUUCGGGCUGCUGGUCAACUUGCCAACCUCUCCUACAUCCUGCUGCGAAUCCUUUUCCAUCGGCGCGAUCCCAUACUACUCCUACUCAGUGAAUUUGCUCUCUACCUUCUAAUCAGCUUGUUUUUGACGAAUCGUCAAUACAGAAGAUGAAUACGCAAGAUCCGUUACAUAGCCCAGUACCGAAGUGGCCAACAAGGUUGAACUCAGCGACUUUGCAGAUACCGUAACCAAAGGUUGCUGUUCAAUAGUUUAACGCGAAGAUGCAAACGUCUGCUCAAGCCACAGCUAGCCAUCGCAACUAAAUGCUGCAGAAGUUUUCUACAAGCAUCAUUAUAGGAAACGAUAAUGAUGUUCGAGAUGAUCAGUUGGCUACACCCGGACGUAAGAAAAUCGGUACGGGGAGACGCAGCUCAUGUUAAACUGCUAUAAAAGCAAAUUUCUAGUUCGUCAGCUAACACCUGCAAAGCUCUAGCAGACUUGCAAUACGACAAAGACAAACGCACACUCACACUUGAGCAAAAAAUUCAUGCGUAAUUGGCAUAGCUAUAACACUGUCAGUCAUAAAUCGAUGAACUUUUCAUUUAACUUGAUCCUGUAAGUGAUUUAUAAUGAAAAUAAAAUUUGUAAUAAAGAA